rnacentral:lncRNA from 1 species
AAAAAAAGAUGACCAAAAACUCGAACGAACUCGAUCCUUAUAUCGAGCGCAAAGCUUUCGACGAGACAAAAGGAGGAGUAAAAGGCCUCGUCGACGCUAAAAUCACUGAAGUUCCUCGAAUCUUCCACAUACCUCAAGAUACCUUAACAGACAAGAAACCAUCUGCCUCUGUAUUAGACCUAGAGAUCCCUACCAUCGACUUUGCAAGCGUUCACGUGGACACGGCAUCACGUGAAGCCGUCGUAGAGAAAGUCAAAUACGCGGCGGAGAAGUGGGGAUUCUUCCAGGUGGUCAAUCAUGGUGUUCCUUUAAACGUUCUUGAAGAGAUCAAAGAUGGAGUUCGCAGGUUUCACGAGGAAGAUCCUGAGGUCAAGAAACGAUACUUCUCGCGUGAUAUCGCCAAUAAAAAUUUUGUCUACAACAGUAAUUUCGAUCUAUACAGUCCUUCGCCGUCUGUUAACUGGAGAGAUACUUUCCAGUGUUACAUAGCUCCAGAUCCUCCAACUCCUGAGGAACUCCCAGUGACUUGCAGGUGACGGUAACAUACUUAACAUCUUUUUCUUCACUUAAAUAUAUUUGGAGGUCGCAAUUCACAAACCUAAUCAUCAAUCAGAGCUGCAAACUGCAAUGGCCAUAUAAAUUUCUUAGAGGCUAAGAAGGAUAUGCAUAAGUUUGUAAAGUAUUAUCAAUCGAUUUGAACGUCUAAACUUUGAAAAGAGAGUGAUUGAUUUCUAACAUCAUUGAUUGACUCAGGGAUGCUAUGUUCGAAUACUCAAAGCAUGUGCUGAGUUUAGGUGGUCUGCUCUUAGAGCUUCUCUCAGAAGCCCUAGGUUUGAAUUCUGAGAUCCUUAAGAGCAUGGAUUGCUUAAAGAAUUUGCUCAUGGUCUGCCAUUAUUACCCUCCGUGUCCACAACCAGACCUAACUUUGGGGAUAAGUAAACACUCAGACACCUCUUUCCUCACGGUUCUUCUUCAAGACAACAUCGGUGGUCUUCAAGUUCUUCAUCAAGACUCUUGGGUAGAUGUCGCUCCUCUUCCUGGAGCUCUCAUCAUCAACAUCGGAGAUUUCUUGCAGGUAAAGUAAGAUUAUGAAAUAGAUACUUAAUACAUUAAUCUAAAAUGUGUUUUUUAUUUAUAUAUAUUCCUAAUUUGAUUUCGCAGCUGAUAACGAACGAUAAGUUUGUAAGUGUGGAGCAUAGGGUGCUUGCGAAUAGACAAGGACCAAGAAUUUUUCAGUAGCAAGCUUUUUCAGCUCAAGUAAAGGGCCCGAUUCCACAGUUUAUGGACCGAUGAAAGAGCUUGUGUCUGAAAACAACCCUCCAAAAUAUAGAGACAUAACCUUGAAAGAAUACACAGAAGGAUUCAUUGAGAAAGGUCUCGAUGGAACAUCGCAUCUCUUGAAUUUCAGGAUAUGAAUUCUGUGUGUUUGUUAGCAUCAGUCACUCUGUUCUUGGCUCUUUAAUAAUAAAACCAGUGUACCUAAAGAAAAAUGUGCGUUUCUACGUAAAUGUAAUGAGCUACUCUGUAUUUGGAUCUUUCUACUUUAGCCAAUAAGUAUCCCAUUACGUAGCCAUAAGUGAAUGCAUUGCAUUGAUUUGAUCUAAAGAUUCAAAACUUUAUUUUUGCUUUCUACCUCUUCAGUUCUUGUUUGAGAUUGUGACAAGGAUGAAGUUAUUUUCGUUACCACACCAAUUUUAAUUGCUUAUUUUAUAUAUAUGCCUAUAUGGAAUGGAGAACUAACCAAAGAAAAUGUCGACUCUUACCUGGAUAGUGGAUACUAUCCCACAUCCAUAUUAAUUAAUUUAUAUGGAAUUUAAUUUUUAGAAAGUAAUGAGUUUACGCCUUACGGGUAGCUGUAAAUGACAUUUAAAAUAAUAUACAGUUAUAUUCAUUUAUGCCGAGGACAUUUUUAUAAAACAGGGGAGUAUUUUUUUUAUAUAUAUAAAAUUUUAGUUAUACCUAUUAAAAUGCAUAAGUUAUCUUUUUUUUUUAAUUUUUUAACAUCUGCCAUCUUAAUUAAAAUUAUCUUGAAAGAGUUCAACAUGACCCCAUUUAUGAUGAUCAACUAGUCGAACAAAUUCACCAUGUACAAAGAGCAAUAUUGAAAGAGUUCCAGCUUUUCUUUUGUAAAAAUAUUAGACAACACCUCUUUUGGGGAGUAGUAUUAGGUAGAACUAUAUGCAUAAUUGAGCAAUUAGUCCAUAAUAAACCAAAAUCAGAGAAGAAAAAGUUAACUACGACAAGUCGUUAAAGUGAGCGUGAGAGAAAGAGAGAGACAACGAUCAGUUACAAAGUCUACAAAAACGGACAUAUUCGGUCCCACACACCAAAGACCAAAAUUCCUACCGUCGAUUCUCUUAGUCGUCCAUUUUUGUCUUCACUUUGCUAUAUCUUCUUCUUAAGUAGAAAUCUUAUGAAAAAGAAAGCAAAAAGAAUGAAUGGUGACCUAAAACUCGAUCGAGUUCGAUCCUUAUAUCGAACGAAAGGCUUUCAGCGAGACAAAAGAAGGAGUAAAACUGUAAAAGGACUCGUCGACGCUAAAAUCACCGAAGUCCCUCGAAUCUUCCACGUCCCGAAAGAUUCCUCAACAGACAAGAAACCAUCUGUCUCUGUUUCAGACCUAGAGAUCCACAAAAAUGCACAUGCUCGGUCCCACACACUAAUGACCAAAUGCUAACCGUCGGUUCUCUUUUUGUUUUUUUAUCCACAUUUUGCUUUAUCUUCUUCAAAACAGACAUCUUGUAAGAAAACAAAAAAAAAAGAAGGAAAAAGAUGGUGACCGAAAACUCGAUCGAAUUCGAUCCUUAUGUCGAGCGCAAAGCUUUCGACGAGACAAAAGAAGGAGUCAAAGGCCUCGUCGACGCUAAAAUCACAGAGGUCCCACGAAUCUUCCACGUCCCGCAAGAUUCCGCAACAGACAAGAAACCCUCUGUUUCUGUUUCCGACCUAGAGAUCCCUACCAUCGACUUCGCAAGCGUCCACGUGGACACGGCGUCACGUGAAGCCGUCGUAGAGAAAGUCAAAUACGCGGCGGAGAAGUGGGGGUUCUUCCAGGUGAUCAAUCAUGGUGUUCCUUUACACGUUCUUGAAGAGACCAAAGAUGGAGUUCGCAGGUUUCACGAGGAAGAUCCUG